GGGAGAAAGAAGAAGACAAGUGUCUUGUCCAAGGCUUCCAGUAAGGGGACACGGGUUCGAUCCCUGGUCCUGGAAGAUACCACAUGCCGCGGAGCAACUAAGCCCGUGCACCACAACUACUGAGCCUGUGCUCUAGAGCCCGCGUGCUGCAACUACUGAGCCCACGCACUGCAACUACUGAAGCCCACGCGACUAGAGCCUGUGCUCUGCAACGGGAAGGCCACUGCAAUGAGAAGCCCUUGCAUUGCAACAAAGAGUCGCCCCUGCUCACUACAACUAGAGAAAGCCCGCGCACAGCAAUGAAGAUCCGAUGCAGCCAAAAGUAAAUAAUUACAUGUAACUAGGAAUGACUCUUGGUCAGAAGACUUGAGUCACCAAGCUGCCGUGCCUACUGACUGUGUGCGGCUGAGGUGGUGC